rnacentral:rRNA from 1 species
UGGGGAAUCUUCCGCAAUGGACGAAAGUCUGACGGAGCAACGCCGCGUGAGUGAAGAAGGUUUUCGGAUCGUAAAGCUCUGUCUUUAGGGACGAAUGUAUCUUUUGUGAACAAUGAGAGAUAAUGACGGUACCUGAGGAGGAAGCCACGGCUAACUACGUGCCAGCAGCCGCGGUAAUACGUAGGUGGCGAGCGUUGUCCGGAAUUAUUGGGCGUAAAGGGCGCGUAGGCGGGAUAGUCAGUCUGUUUUAAAAGUGCGAGGCUCAACCUCGUAAGGGAACAGAAACUACUAUUCUUGAGUGCAGGAGAGGAAAGUGGAAUUCCUAGUGUAGCGGUGAAAUGCGUAGAUAUUAGGAGGAACACCAGUGGCGAAGGCGACUUUCUGGACUGUGUCUGACGCU